rnacentral:tRNA from 2 species
GCUCGUAUAGUGUAGGUGGUUAUCACCGUCCGUUGUGGUUUAUCGUUACACCCCGAUCCGGGCUGACCGCUGUUCGACUCAGCGUGCGAGCA